rnacentral:rRNA from 1 species
UACGUAGGGUGCAAGCGUUGUUCGGAAUUACUGGGCGUAAAGGGCUCGUAGGCGGCCAACUAAGUCAGACGUGAAAUCCCUCGGCUUAACCGGGGAACUGCGUCUGAUACUGGAUGGCUUGAGAUUGGGAGAGGGAUGCGGAAUUCCAGGUGUAGCGGUGAAAUGCGUAGAUAUCUGGAGGAACACCGGUGGCGAAGGCGGCAUCCUGGACCAACACUGACGCUGAGGAGCGAAAGCCAGGGGAGCAAACGGG